rnacentral:rRNA from 1 species
UACGAAGGGGGCUAGCGUUGUUCGGAAUUACUGGGCGUAAAGCGCACGUAGGCGGAUCAUCAGUCAGGGUGAAAUCCCGGGCUCAACCCCGGAACUGCCUUUGAUACUGGUAGUCUCGAGUCCGGAAGAGGUGAGUGGAAUUCCGAGUGUAGAGGUGAAAUUCGUAGAUAUUCGGAGGAACACCAGUGGCGAAGGCGGCUCACUGGUCCGGUACUGACGCUGAGGUGCGAAAGCGUGGGGAGCAAAGCA